GCGCAGGCGGAAUGAUUAGUCAGUGGUGAAAUCCUACAGCUCAACUGUAGAACUGCCAUUGAUACUGUCAUUCUUGAGUACAGUUGAAGUGGGCGGAAUGUAUCAUGUAGCGGUGAAAUGCAUAGAUAUGAUACAGAACUCCUAUAGCGAAGGCAGCUCACUAAACUGUUACUGACGCUCAGGCACGAAAGCGUGGGGAGCAAACAGGAUUAGAUACCCUGGUAGUCCACGCCGUAAACGAUGAUCACUCGUUGUUGGCAACACAUAGUCAGCGACUGAACGAAAGUAUUAAGUGAUCCACCUGGGGAGUACGAUCGCAAGGUUGAAACUCAAAGGAAUUGACGGGGGCCCGCACAAGCGGAGGAGCAUGUGGUUUAAUUCGAUGAUACGCGAGGAACCUUACCUGGGCUUAAAUGUUUAAUGACCGACUGGGAAACCAGUCUUCUCUUCGGAGCAUUUUACAAGGUGCUGCAUGGUUGUCGUCAGCUCGUGCCGU
rnacentral:rRNA from 1 species